AUGAAGUCGGAAUUGCUAGUAAUCGCGGAUCAGCAUGCCGCGGUGAAUACGUUCCCGGGCCUUGUACACACCGCCCGUCACACCAUGGGAGUCGGUAACACCCGAAGCCUGUAGUCUAACCGCAAGGGGACGCAGUCGAAGGUGGGAUUGAUGACUGGGGUGAAGUCGUAACAAGGUAUC
rnacentral:rRNA from 1 species